AUGGGAACGCGAAGAACCUUACCUACUCUUGACAUCCAGAGAACUUAAGCAGAGAUGCUUUGGUGCCUUCGGGAACCCUGAGACAGGUGCUGCAUGGCUGUCGUCAGCUCGUGUUGUGAAAUGUUGGGUUAAGUCCCGCAACGAGCGCAACCCUUAUCCUUUGUUGCCAGCGAUUCGGUCGGGAACUCAAAGGAGACUGCCAGUGAUAAACUGGAGGAAGGUGGGGAUGACGUCAAGUCAUCAUGGCCCUUACGAGUAGGGCUACACACGUGCUACAAUGGCGCAUACAAAGAGAAGCGACCUCGCGAGAGCAAGCGGACCUCAUAAAGUGCGUCGUAGUCCGGAUUGGAGUCUGCAACUCGACUCCAUGAAGUCGGAAUCGCUAGUAAUCGUAGAUCAGAAUGCUAC
rnacentral:rRNA from 1 species